AUGGAAUUCAGUGCUCCGAAUCUAGCAAAAUUUGAGUAUUCGGGUCAGGCCAUACCCAUUACACUCGGUGAAUCCAUGAAGCCAACAGAAGCUACUGUGACGCUCUUGGGAUAUGAUGACACUCUUGAGCAUGUCUUCACCGAACUUCCAAAGACCCUGUCUCGCGUGGAGACACUAUCUGUGAACACUUGCAUAAACACCGAGGUGGUUGGAUUUUCAAAUUGCCUGAUGAAGUUUACUCAUCUGAGAAAACUGGAGGUGACUGUAAGUAUUCUCGGGGACUCGAGAAUCAGAAAUGGGAUUCUUCGUUUAGUGAGUCUUCUAGAGGUGGCCCCUCUUCUGCAAAGGCUCGAGUUAAAUAUGCUUCCACAUGUGUCGGUUGGGGUAUCCAACGAGCCUGAAGCUUACUGGCAUUUUCAGCCGUGCGCCCACCGUCAUCUUGAGCAGUUCGAGGUUUCAGGGUUUAUCGGUCUAAGAGGUCAGCUUGAGGUGGUGUUGUGCAUCCUUGAGGCGAAUGUCCGUAGAACCGAGGGUGACGGCAUAUGA
rnacentral:rRNA from 1 species